CUACCUGAUUCAGCGGCGGACGGGUGAGUAAUGCCUAGGAAUCUGCCCGAUAGUGGGGGACAACGUUUCGAAAGGAACGCUAAUACCGCAUACGUCCUACGGGAGAAAGUGGGGGAUCUUCGGACCUCACGCUAUCGGAUGAGCCUAGGUCGGAUUAGCUAGUUGGUGAGGUAAUGGCUCACCAAGGCGACGACCCGUAACUGGUCUGAGAGGAUGAUCAGUCACACUGGAACUGAGACACGGUCCAGACUCCUACGGGAGGCAGCAGUGGGGAAUAUUGGACAAUGGGCGAAAGCCUGAUCCAGCCAUGCCGCGUGUGUGAAGAAGGUCUUCGGAUUGUAAAGCACUUUAAGUUGGGAGGAAGGGCAGUAAGCUAAUACCUUGCUGUUUUGACGUUACCAACAGAAUAAGCACCGGCUAACUUCGUGCCAGCAGCCGCGGUAAUACGAAGGGUGCAAGCGUUAAUCGGAAUUACUGGGCGUAAAGCGCGCGUAGGUGGUUCAGCAAGUUGGAUGUGAAAUCCCCGGGCUCAACCUGGGAACUGCAUCCAAAACUACUGAGCUAGAGUACGGUAGAGGGUGGUGGAAUUUCCUGUGUAGC
rnacentral:rRNA from 1 species